GGCGUGCUUAACACAUGCAAGUCGAACGGAAAGGCCCUGCUUUUGUGGGGUGCUCGAGUGGCGAACGGGUGAGUAACACGUGAGUAACCUGCCCUUGACUUUGGGAUAACUUCAGGAAACUGGGGCUAAUACCGGAUAGGAGCUCCUGCUGCAUGGUGGGGGUUGGAAAGUUUCGGCGGUUGGGGAUGGACUCGCGGCUUAUCAGCUUGUUGGUGGGGUAGUGGCUUACCAAGGCUUUGACGGGUAGCCGGCCUGAGAGGGUGACCGGCCACAUUGGGACUGAGAUACGGCCCAGACUCCUACGGGAGGCAGCAGUGGGGAAUAUUGCACAAUGGGCGGAAGCCUGAUGCAGCAACGCCGCGUGCGGGAUGACGGCCUUCGGGUUGUAAACCGCUUUCGCCUGUGACGAAGCGUGAGUGACGGUAAUGGGUAAAGAAGCACCGGCUAACUACGUGCCAGCAGCCGCGGUGAUACGUAGGGUGCGAGCGUUGUCCGGAUUUAUUGGGCGUAAAGGGCUCGUAGGUGGUUGAUCGCGUCGGAAGUGUAAUCUUGGGGCUUAACCCUGAGCGUGCUUUCGAUACGGGUUGACUUGAGGAAGGUAGGGGAGAAUGGAAUUCCUGGUGGAGCGGUGGAAUGCGCAGAUAUCAGGAGGAACACCAGUGGCGAAGGCGGUUCUCUGGGCCUUUCCUGACGCUGAGGAGCGAAAGCGUGGGGAGCGAACAGGCUUAGAUACCCUGGUAGUCCACGCUGUAAACGGUGGGUACUAGGUGUGGGGUCCAUUCCACGGGUUCCGUGCCGUAGCUAACGCUUUAAGUACCCCGCCUGGGGAGUACGGCCGCAAGGCUAAAACUCAAAGGAAUUGACGGGGCCCCGCACAAGCGGCGGAGCAUGCGGAUUAAUUCGAUGCAACGCGUAGAACCUUACCUGGGUUUGACAUGGAUCGGGAGUGCUCAGAGAUGGGUGUGCCUCUUUUGGGGUCGGUUCACAGGUGGUGCAUGGCUGUCGUCAGCUCGUGUCGUGAGAUGUUGGGUUAAGUCCCGCAACGAGCGCAACCCUUGUUCACUGUUGCCAGCGCGUUAUGGUGGGGACUCAGUGGAGACCGCCGGGGUCAACUCGGAGGAAGGUGGGGAUGACGUCAAGUCAUCAUGCCCCUUAUGUCCAGGGCUUCACGCAUGCUACAAUGGCUGGUACAGAGAGUGGCGAGCCUGUGAGGGUGAGCGAAUCUCGGAAAGCCGGUCUCAGUUCGGAUUGGGGUCUGCAACUCGACCUCAUGAAGUCGGAGUCGCUAGUAAUCGCAGAUCAGCAACGCUGCGGUGAAUACGUUCCCGGGGCUUGUACACACCGCCCGUCAAGUCAUGAAAGUUGGUAACACCCGAAGCCGGUGGCCUAACCGUUGUGGGGGAGCCGUCGAAGGUGGGACUGGUGAUUAGGACUAAG
rnacentral:rRNA from 1 species